CGAGAUACACUGGCGUCUCGUGGGCUCGGAGAUGUGUAUAAGAGACAGGUGCUGACACUAGUACGAGAGGACCGUGUUGGACAGACCUCCGGUUUACCAGUUGUGCCGCCAGGUGCACCGCUGGGUAUCUGAGUCUGGAUUGGAUAAGCGCUGAAAGCAUCUAAGUGCGAAGCCAGCCGCAAGAUGAGAACUCCUCAUAAGGGUCGUCAUAGACGAUGACGUUGAUAGGGUGUAGGUGUAAAGACGGUGACGUCAAAGCCGAGCACUACUAAUUGCCCGAAACUUUCUUCGGG
rnacentral:rRNA from 1 species